rnacentral:rRNA from 1 species
UUACCGUAGGUGAACCUGCGGUAGGAUCAUUGUCGUGCCUGGCGAACCGUGAAGGGGAGGGAUCCUCCGACGCGUCCGCACGAAACCACCCCCCGGGAGGAAGCUCCCGUGUGGGGUGGGAAACGGCGGUCGGGUCGGACGGGUCGCCCUCUCCUACCCCCGUCGUCGUUGCCGUCUCGAUCGGAUGAAGGCACGCCGGCCUUUUCGCCAUGUCGUCCCGCGGGGGAUUCCCUCCCUCUCGGGCGUCGUGGCUUGGGUCUGGUUGCCUGCCGGAGGGUCGUUCGGCAGCGGCACGGGUUUUACUUCGUGGGUUCCCUCGGCGGUUUGCCUGCCUUGGUCGUGGGAGCGCGCGGGGCGUCGCGGCGGGUCGAUGGGUGCUAGAAGGUUUCUGCACCCUCGCCUGUCGGUCGACCCCGUCGCUGCCGUCCGAGGCGACGACCGUUCGACGGUUCCCUAAGCAGAUCCCUCCGACGCGAUGCCCUCCGGGCGGUGCUGCCGGCCCCCUCGUAGCCCCCUCGCCCAAGGCGGUCGGGCUCGAGACCGGCCGUGUCCGUUUUCGGACGGGCAGAGCGGUUGGAGGCUCUGCCACAACCCCCUGCCACGACGUCCGCCCGACGUCGCCGGGCGGUGGUUCGGCCCUCCGACGGCCGCACCCGCGAUCCAGGUCGCGGGGCGGACCCGUCGGACGGAGCCGUCCUCACCCCCGGCACCCGGGCCUUCGUCUGGUCGGGCGGGGACAACCCCUCUUCCCCUCCGUUGCUCGCCUGCCCCAUCGAGGGGUAGCCGAACUCCUCGGCCGGCCCGCGCCGCUCUUUGCAGCGCCACGGGGCACCGGGUUUUUCGGUCCCUCGGGGCGGGCAGCAAACGGGGGCUGGGGCGCGUCAAGAAAACCCCCCCCCCCCCCAAACAACAUCGGGUGCCAUCUGCACCAAGGACAUCGAUGCAAAAAGCCGUGCCGGACCCUCGCGCCUUGCGUGCGGCGGCCGGUCGGCGUCCGACUAACACGACUCUCGGCAACGGAUAUCUUGGCUCUCGCCACGAUGAAGAACGUAGCGAAAUGCGACACUUGGUGUGAAUUGCAGAAUCCCGUGAAUCAUCGAGUCUUUGAACGCAAGUUGCGCCCGAGGCUUCGGCCGAGGGCACGUCUGCCUGGGCGUCGCACUCCAAAAAUCCGACCUCCUUUCGCCCCCGCGCGGCGGAGGAUCGGGAUGUGGUCGUCCGUGCCCCGCGAGGGCGCGGUCGGCCGAAACGCGCGCGUUGGCUCAUCGCCCCUUCUGACCCCGACGAGCGGUGGCCCCGUUCGGAGUCGGCGUUGGUCGGGUGUCAGGCGAUCGAGGCUCCGCGUAGGACUUUACGGCGCGGCCCCCGGCCACUGCCCCAGCUCGCGCCCCCAGGUCAGGCGAGAAC